rnacentral:rRNA from 1 species
UACAGAGGUCUCAAGCGUUGUUCGGAUUCAUUGGGCGUAAAGGGUGCGUAGGCGGUCUGUUAAGUCUGAUGUGAAAUCCCCUCGCUUAACGAGGGAACUGCGUCGGAUACUGGCAGACUCGAGUACCGGAGAGGAAGGUGGAAUUCCCGGUGUAGCGGUGAAAUGCGCAGAUAUCGGGAAGAACACCCGUGGCGAAGGCGGCUCUCUGGGACGGUACUGACGCUGAGACGCGAAAGCGUGGGGAGCGAACAGG